ACGCUGGCGGCGUGCCUAAUACAUGCAAGUAGAACGCUGAAGAGAGGAGCUUGCUCUUCUUGGAUGAGUUGCGAACGGGUGAGUAACGCGUAGGUAACCUGCCUUGUAGCGGGGGAUAACUAUUGGAAACGAUAGCUAAUACCGCAUAACAAUAGGUGACACAUGUCAUUUAUUUGAAGGGGGCAGUUGCUCCACUACAAGAUGGACCUGCGUUGUAUUAGCUAGUAGGUGAGGUAACGGCUCACCUAGGCGACGAUACAUAGCCGACCUGAGAGGGUGAUCGGCCACACUGGGACUGAGACACGGCCCAGACUUCUACGGGAGGCAGCAGUAGGGAAUCUUCGGCAAUGGGGGCAACCCUGACCGAGCAACGCCGCGUGAGUGAAGAAGGUUUUCGGAUCGUAAAGCUCUGUUGUAAGUCAAGAACGAGUGUGAGAGUGGAAAGUUCACACUGUGACGGUAGCUUACCAGAAAGGGACGGCUAACUACGUGCCAGCAGCCGCGGUAAUACGUAGGUCCCGAGCGUUGUCCGGAUUUAUUGGGCGUAAAGCGAGCGCAGGCGGUUUGAUAAGUCUGAAGUUAAAGGCUGUGGCUCAACCAUAGUUCGCUUUGGAAACUGUCAAACUUGAGUGCAGAAGGGGAGAGUGGAAUUCCAUGUGUAGCGGUGAAAUGCGUAGAUAUAUGGAGGAACACCGGUGGCGAAAGCGGCUCUCUGGUCUGUAACUGACGCUGAGGCUCGAAAGCGUGGGGAGCGAACAGGAUUAGAUACCCUGGUAGUCCACGCCGUAAACGAUGAGUGCUAGGUGUUGGAUCCUUUCCGGGAUUCAGUGCCGCAGCUAACGCAUUAAGCACUCCGCCUGGGGAGUACGACCGCAAGGUUGAAACUCAAAGGAAUUGACGGGGGCCCGCA
rnacentral:rRNA from 1 species